AUUGAACGCUGGCGGCAGGCCUAACACAUGCAAGUCGAGCGAGCGGCGGACGGGUGAGUAAUGUAUGGGGACUGCCCGAUAGAGGGGGAUAACUACUGGAAACGGUGGCUAAUACCGCAUACUAUCGGAUAACCCAUAUGGGAUUAGCUAGUAGGUGAGGUAAUGGCUCACCGAGGCGACGAUCCCUAGCUGGUCUGAGAGGAUGAUCAGCCACACUGGGACUGAGACACGGCCCAGACUCCUACGGAGGCAGCAGUGGGGAAUAUUGCACAAGGGGCGCAAGCCUGAUGAAGCCAUGCCGCGGGUAUGAAGAAGGCCUUAGGGUUGUAAAGUACUUUCAGUCGGGAGGCGUUACCGACAGAAGAAGCACCGGCUAACUCCGUGCCAGCAGCCGCGGUAAUUC
rnacentral:rRNA from 1 species